UCCCGUUUAGCUCAGUUGGUAGAGCGCGUCACUAGUAUUUGCUUACGAGCAGGUCAUGACGAGGUCAGUCGUUCGAGUCGGCUAAUGGGAA
rnacentral:tRNA from 1 species